GACAGAAGGUGCAAACGUUGUUCGGAAUUACUGGGCGUAAGGCGCGUGUAGGCGGCAGGGCAAGUCGGAUGUGAAAUCCCGUGGCUCAACCACGGAAGUGCACCCGAAACUGCCCAGCUAGAGUCUCGGAGAGGAAGGUGGAAUGCUUGGUGUAGAGGUGAAAUUCGUAGAUAUCAAGCGGAACACCGGUGGCGAAGGCGGCCUUCUGGACGAUGACUGACGCUGAGACGCGAAAGCGUGGGGAGCAAACAGG
rnacentral:rRNA from 1 species